UACUUUUUUCCAGGAAGUCUAUCCUUGAUAUGUUUACCCUAACUGGUAACGGAUAUUCUUCCCAUUUCCCUAGGUGGUCUAUCCUUGAUAUGUUCAUCCUAACCGAUUACGGAUAUUCUUCCUUUGAGUUUAUCCUUGAUAUGUUCAGUUUAACCGGUGACAGAUAUUCUCUCUCUUUGGUCUUCUUCCCAGUAUCCGAUAGUUGUAAAUCCUAUUUGAUAUGUUCCCUAGUAGGAUAUUCUUACCCAGUAACCGGU
rnacentral:lncRNA from 1 species